AGGCCCACAUAAUUUAGACCUCAAGAACCCGAAAGGCCCACACCCUUUCAACCUAGGGCCCAACUAGCCCUAGAGCCUCCAUGAAGCCCUCAUGAAUGAUGGACCUUGGCCUUAGCCUUGGUCCCCUGGGCCUUGGGCACACCACCUGGAUCACAACAUCUACCUUUCCAUCUGUUUCUAUUUUUCUUUUAUAGAUCCAUUUACAUCAAUAGAUAUUAUACCUUCUGG
rnacentral:lncRNA from 1 species